rnacentral:snRNA from 1 species
GUUCAUUCCUGAAUAUUUACGAAAAUUGGGACAAUACAGAGUAGAUUAGCAUGGCCCCUGCACAAGGAUGACACGCAAAUUAUUACUACGCUUCCAUCCUCA